UGGGGAAUCUUGGACAAUGGGCGCAAGCCUGAUCCAGCAACGCCGCGUGAGGGAUGACGGCCUUCGGGUUGUAAACCUCUUUCAGCGGGGACGAAGCGCAAGUGACGGUACCCGCAGAAGAAGCACCGGCCAACUACGUGCCAGCAGCCGCGGUAAUACGUAGGGUGCGAGCGUUGUCCGGAAUUAUUGGGCGGAAAGGGCUCGUAGGCGGUUUGUCACGUCGGGAGUGAAAAGUCGGGGCUCAACCCC
rnacentral:rRNA from 1 species